CCUACGGGUGGCAGCAGUGGGGAAUAUUGCACAAUGGGGGAAACCCUGAUGCAGCGACGCCGCGUGAGUGAAGAAGUAAUUCGUUAUGUUAAGCUCUAUCAGUAGGGAAGAAAAUGACGGUACCUGUGUAAGAAGCCCCGGCUAACUACGUGCCAGCAGCCGCGGUAAUACGCAGGGGGCAAGCGUUAUCCGGAUUUACUGGGUGUAAAGGGAGCGUAGACGGCAGUGCAAGUCUGGAGUGAAAGGCGGGGGGUCAACCCCCGGACUGCGCUGGAAACUGUACGGCUGGAGUGCAGGAGAGGUAAGUGGAAUGCGUGGUGUAGCGGUGAAAUACGUAGAUAUUAGGAAGAACACCGGUGGCGAAGGCAGCUUACUGGACUGUAACUGACGUUGAGGCUCGAAAGCGUGGGGAGCGAACAGGAUUAGAUACCCUUGUAGUC
rnacentral:rRNA from 1 species